UACGUAGGGGGCAAGCGUUGUCCGGAUUUAUUGGGCGUAAAGAGCUCGUAGGCGGCUCGGUAAGUCGGAUGUGAAACCUCCAGGCUCAACCUGGAGUCGCCAUCCGAUACUGCUGUGGCUUGAGUCCGGUAGGGGAGCAUGGAAUUCCUGGUGUAGCGGUGAAAUGCGCAGAUAUCAGGAGGAACACCAGUGGCGAAGGCGGUGCUCUGGGCCGGUACUGACGCUGAGGAGCGAAAGCGUGGGGAGCAAACAGG
rnacentral:rRNA from 1 species